GUGGAGGGUGUGGUAGGUGUUAUGCUGCUCUGCUGGCCACUCUCUUCCAGCCAAUAUCAGGGUGAUGAGGUGCUGUCUGGCUGAGGACUGAAGCUGCUGAACCACAUGAGAAAAGCACGAAUAGACCCAUUGAGUAAGACCUGAAUGAAGCCUUGGAGUAUGUAUGAAUUAAUAGAGGGAUAUUAACAGAAGGAAGAGGAAAGAAUGACAACUGUUAUGGAGAUCAGACAUGCGUGUCUUAGGGUUGCAGAGCUUUUCACUGGAGUUCAUCUCAUCAUUCCUUUUAAUCACGUUCUAUGCACAUACAGAUUUUAAUGGUGUACAAAGCCUG